CCUAGUGUGUCUAUGCUUUAAAGCGCUCUUGUUUCCUGGGCCCUGGGGUCCAAUCUAGAAAGCACUGCCUGAACCAAUACCUUGAAGCGUUUCGACCAUGAUGCCAAAUGCCUUUUAAAAUGUUCAAUACCUUUAUUAGUCACCAGAGAAAUGGAAAACAAAACAGCAAGACUCCAUCCCAAACAAGUCACAGUGGCUGUCAUCACAAGCUAUAUAAAAGGCAGAGCAGGCUCGGCUCGCUUGGUGAAGUGCUUGCUGGACCAGUGGAACUCUCAGGACUUGUCUAAAGAUGUUUCUUUGUGCAGUGGAUGGUGGUUAACGAAGACGCUCACAACUGGUCCAAAUGUAGAGAAUCGAGAUGUAGCUUUCGACCUCUUCUCCAGCACCAUGUCUGCUAUACCUGCUGUCAUGCUUCCUGCCACUACGAUAAUGAACUAAUCCUCUAAACUUACAAGCACAGGGUGACGGUCUAUGCUGAAACAUGGAAGGGGCUUUGAACAGUGAAAGCUGGUAUGAUUACCCUGGAUCUUCAUCUAGAAGGAACUGUGUGUUGUCACCUCAGAAGAUACAGACACGGGGAAGUCUGGAGGAGAACCUGCAAAGCACAGAUGAAUUA